GCAGCAACAUGGCGGCCUCCGUGGAUCUGGAGUUGAAGAAGGCCUUCACUGAGCUUCAAGCCAAAGUUAUUGACACUCAACAGAAGGUGAAGCUUGCAGACAUUCAGAUUGAACAACUGAACAGAACGAAAAAGCAUGCACAUCUUACAGAUACAGAGAUUAUGACUUUGGUAGAUGAGACUAACAUGUAUGAAGGUAUAGGAAGAAUGUUUACUCUUCAAUCCAAGGAGGUAAUUCAUAAUCAGCUGUUGGAGAAACAGAAAAUAGCAGAAGAAAAAAUUAAAGAACUAGAGCAGAAAAAGUCCUACCUGGAGCGGAGUGUUAAGGAAGCUGAAGACAACAUCCGGGAGAUGCUGAUGGCACGAAGGGCACAGUGAGCCUGUAAGGGAUACUCUCCCUUUGGACCCCUCUCAUCUGCCUGGGGUUGGUAGCCUUCCUCUACCCAGGUGGACAUUUUAUCUGGUUGGGCCAGCAAUCAACCCUGCACUUUUUGUAUUGCCCUGAGCCACUUUCAGGUUCCACCCUGUAUAUUCCCCCAGCUUUACCUGCCCUGGAUACUCUUCUCUCCUGUGGUGAUACAUGAAUUCCCAGGAGAAAGAAGACAGGAUCCAGGGCAGAUAGGUAUGUUCUACCUGACCCUGCCACCAGGUAUGCUAGUCAGGUCAAUAAAAGAUUCCUGUC